GUGUGUGUGUGUGUGUGUGUGUGUCUGAAUGGAGCAUCUUUGUCCAGAGGAGCUGAAGUCAGAAAAAUGCCCCCAACCAACAGGAUUCCAGCCCUGGCUCUGAUGCUGAAGGUCUCUGGAGCUCCUCUGCUGAAGUGGGGUGCUGGGCUUCGUUGCUGUUUCUGGCAGAGUCCUGCUUCUCGCGCCCGCUGCACUGGGUUUGGCGUCUCUGCUGUUCGCUGAGAUCUGCACACUCCAGGAGCCAUAGGGAGGACGCCAGGACAGCCCCGAAGACGAGAAUGCCUCGCUCCUCCUAGGACGGGAGGAAAAUCCCACAAAUCCUGUCUACUCCAAGCAGCCGCGCCCCUCGGGAGACCACCCCAGUUGGAGGGGCCCACUCCAGCCACCGCUACACCGGGACGCGCUCCUCCUCCCCCUGUGCCCGCCCCUUCUCGUGAGGGACCACCAGGAGGCCCCUCGAUUCCCCAGGUAUGGGAACUCUAACACCAAUGCCUCUGCUCCCUGGGCGGUGAGCGCAGCGCCCACGGGUCCUUCGGCCAGGGGCUGGGCUGCCUCGAUUUCCAUCCCGGACCCGAAAAAGGGCCGGACGCGGUGGCUUACACCUGUAAUCUCAGCACUUUGGAAGGCCGAGGCGGGCGGAUCACUUGAGGACAGGAGUUCGAGAGCAGCCUGGCCAAAAUGGCGAAACCCCCAUCUCUACUAAACAUACAAAAAAAUUUGCGCACCAGCAUGGCACAUGUAUACAUAUG
rnacentral:lncRNA from 10 species